UACGUAGGGUGCGAGCGUUAAUCGGAAUUACUGGGCGUAAAGCGUGCGCAGGCGGUGAUGUAAGACCGAUGUGAAAUCCCCGGGCUUAACCUGGGAACUGCAUUGGUGACUGCAUUGCUGGAGUAUGGCAGAGGGGGGUGGAAUUCCACGUGUAGCAGUGAAAUGCGUAGAGAUGUGGAGGAAUACCGAUGGCGAAGGCAGCCUCCUGGGCCAACACUGACGCUCAUGCACGAAAGCGUGGGGAGCAAACAGG
rnacentral:rRNA from 1 species